rnacentral:rRNA from 1 species
GGGAUAACACUUGGAAACAGGUGCUAAUACCGCAUAACCAUAGUUACCGCAUGGUAACUAUGUAAAAGGUGGCUAUGCUACCGCUUUUGGAUGGGCCCGCGGCGCAUUAGCUAGUUGGUGGGGUAAAGGCUUACCAAGGCAAUGAUGCGUAGCCGAACUGAGAGGUUGAUCGGCCACAUUGGGACUGAGACACGGCCCAAACUCCUACGGGAGGCAGCAGUAGGGAAUCUUCCACAAUGGGCGAAAGCCUGAUGGAGCAGCGCCGCGUGGGUGAAGAAGGUCUUCGGAUCGUAAAACCCUGUUGUUAGAGAAGAAAGUGCGUGAGAGUAACUGUUCACGUUUCGACGGUAUCUAACCAGAAAGCCACGGCUAACUACGUGCCAGCAGCCGCGGUAAUACGUAGGUGGCAAGCGUUAUCCGGAUUCAUUGGGCGUAAAGGGAACGCAGGCGGUCUUUUAAGUCUGAUGUGAAAGCCUUCGGCUUAACCGGAGUAGUGCAUUGGAAACUGGGAGACUUGAGUGCAGAAGAGGAGAGUGGAACUCCAUGUGUAGCGGUGAAAUGCGUAGAUAUAUGGAAGAACACCAGUGGCGAAAGCGGCUCUCUGGUCUGUAACUGACGCUGAGGUUCGAAAGCGUGGGUAGCAAACAGGAUUAGAUACCCUGGUAGUCCACGCCGUAAAC